UAUCUGGGGAAGAGUACAAAAACAUUUCUGCAGCAUUGAAGGUCCCGAAGAACACAGUGGCCUCCAUCAUUCUUCAAUUGAAGAAGUUUGGAAUCACCAAAACUCUUCCUAGAGAUGGCCGCUCAGCUAAACUGAGCAUUGGAAGAGAAGGGCCUUGGGCAGGGAGGUGACUCGAUCAUGCGGUCCCGUCGAUGUGGAUCGGGGGGCGCUCCCUCUGCUGUUUCCUUAAGUCCACGAUCGAAUUCGCCAAAGCUCUAGAGCAUAUCAGGCUCCCUGUCGUCUACUGUGGCUCAGAUGACCAACAGGAGCUGCCAGCGCGGUGUGAAGAGAGAGAUUCAGAGAGAGAGAGAGAGAGCAAGAUAAACGAUCGAUUCUGUGCGUGCAUGAUGGACAUUUAAACAUCCACUCAUCUGAAAUUGCAAAUUGACGUACCCCAUUUGACUGUGUACGUGGAUCGGGGUGAUUGAUGGCAGUGAUGGAUGUCACUUCCUGUUGUCCUACUGGUUAUCUCAGGGCCUGAGGUGGAGGACAGCACCUUAUCCCUGGUCACUGAAAUCCCUAGCUCACACCUCGUUCCUCCCAUUCCUUGUCCCCUUCAGCCGCUUUCAGAGGACCCCUCCUUAGAUUCUCCUCCAGUAGAAAUUAAUGGAACUUAUCUGGACAUGCUGCCGGAGUAAUUUGUCAGGAAGCCUGUCGCCAAGAACGACGCAAGAGGUUUCCGUCAGCCUUACAGUGUGUGUGCCAAGGUGAAGGAUGACUAGGAAUCCUGUUAUUUUUUUGGUAGUAGGUUUUUUGAAGUUGUCCUUUUCCACAGAAAAGAUACAUCUAGGUAGGCUAUGUACAUCCAUCCAUGCUUGUUAUACUGUGUAUUAAUGAACUAUGUUGGACUGACCUGGUGGGUGAUGUGAGGUCAUGAACUACCAGAAUCAGGUUGUGUUCUAUUAGAAAUCGCACAAUGUUGAAUGCAGGGUAAUGAAUGAAGGAUGAGUCAUUGCCGGUGAAUCUCCUGAAUCACUCUGUGCUGCUUAGAAACACAGCAUCUGAACUCUACUUUAAAUAGUCUACUGUAUGCUAUAUCCUGUCUGUGUAGAGAUGCCAAUCCCACAGCCAGAAAAAUGUAAUGAUGCUUCCAGUUUUCUUAUUAUAAAGCACAGUCCCACUGGGUACACAUUGGUUGAAUCAUUGUUGUUUCCACGUCAUUUCACCAUGCCUCCCCACACAAACAAUGUGUACUGAAGCCUAAGGUCAUGGCAGCUUCAGGCCUGCCAAAGCAAGGUGGUGUGUGUGUGUGGGACAGGAGAGGAGAGGAUUGGAGAGGAAAGGAGAGGAGGGGAGAGAGAGCCACAGUGACCAGUCACAGUGACCAGUCACCAGUCCAAGGCCACAGUGACCAGUCACCAAAACCCAGUCAGUCAGCCGCUCUUUAUCUCUCUCAGCCCUCUCAAUUCAGUUUCAAUUCAAGGGGCUUUUUUUGGCAUGGGAAACAUAUGUUUACAUUGCCAAAGAAAGUAAAAUAGACAAGAAACAAAAGGGCAAUUAACAAUCAGAAAUUAACAGUAAACAAUACACUCAGAAGUUUUAAUAGAAUAUAGACA